rnacentral:rRNA from 1 species
AUUGAACGCUGGCGGCAGGCUUAACACAUGCAAGUCGAGCGGAGAUGAGGUGCUUGCACCUUAUCUUAGCGGCGGACGGGUGAGUAAUGCUUAGGAAUCUGCCUAUUAGUGGGGGACAACAUUCCGAAAGGAAUGCUAAUACCGCAUACGCCCUACGGGGGAAAGCAGGGGAUCUUCGGACCUUGCGCUAAUAGAUGAGCCUAAGUCGGAUUAGCUAGUUGGUGGGGUAAAGGCCUACCAAGGCGACGAUCUGUAGCGGGUCUGAGAGGAUGAUCCGCCACAGGGGGACUGAGACACGGCCCAGACGCCUACGGGAGGCAGCAGUGGGGAAUAUUGGACAAUGGGCGGAAGCCUGAUCCAGCCAUGCCGCGUGUGUGAAGAAGGCCUUUUGGUUGUAAAGCACUUUAAGCGAGGAGGAGGCUACCUGGAUUAAUACUCUAGGAUAGUGGACGUUACUCGCAGAAUAAGCACCGGCUAACUCUGUGCCAGCAGCCGCCGUAA